AACGCAACGAAAUGCGAUACUUGGUGUGAAUUGCAGAAUCCCGUGAACCAUCGAGUCUUUGAACGCAAGUUGCGCCCGAAGCCAAUAGGCCGAGGGCACGUCUGCCUGGGCGUCACGCAUCGCGUCUCCCCUGCACACCACCCCCAAACUAAGGGAAGCUGUGAUGCGCGGGAUGGAUAUU
rnacentral:rRNA from 1 species